CCCGGGCCUUGUACACACCGCCCGUCACGCCAUGGAAGUUGGGGGGACCUGAAGCCGGUGGGCUAACCCGCAAGGGGGGCGCCUACCACGGUGAGCUUCAUGACUGGGGUG
rnacentral:rRNA from 1 species